CCGCGGUGCAUUGCUGUUGCGUUGCACGUGUGUGCGGGUGCAGUGCCUCUGCAGUGCAGCCCGG
rnacentral:pre_miRNA from 15 species